rnacentral:rRNA from 1 species
AUUGCCUCAGUAACGGCGAGUGAAGCGGCAACAGCUCAAAUUUGAAAUCUGGCCCGUUUCGGGUCCGAGUUGUAAUUUGUAGAGGAUGUUUUGGGUACCGCCGCGGGUUAAUUUUCUUGGAACAGAGAGCCAAAGAGGGUGAGAGUCCCGUCUUGGCCCGCGGUAGGGCUCGUGUAAAACUCCUUCGACGAGUCGACUAGUUUGGGAAUGCUGGUCAAAAUGGGUGGUAAAUUUCAUCUAAAGCUAAAUAUUGGCCAGAGACCGAUAGCGCACAAGUAGAGUGAUCGAAAGAUGAAAAGCACUUUGAAAAGAGAGUUAAACAGUAUGUGAAAUUGUUGAAAGGGAAGCGCAGGCAACCAGACUCGUGCGCGGGGUUCCCCCUUGCUUCUGCUUGGGUUACUUCCCCGUGUCCGGGCCAUCAUCAGUUUUGGGGACCGGUCAAAGACCCCGGGAAUGUAUCCUCCCCUUCGGGAGAGGACUUAUAGCCCGGGGUGUCAUGCGGCCACCUGGGACCGAGGAACGCGCUUCGGCGAGGAUGAUGGCGUAAUGGUUGUCUGCGACCCGUCUUGAAACACGGACCAAGGAGUCUAACAUCUAUGCGAGUGUUCGGGUGUCAAACCCUGGCGCGGAAUGAAAGUGAACGGAGGUAGGAAGGCGUACGCCUGCACUAUCGACCGAUCCUGAUGUCUUCGGAUGGAUUUGAGUAAGAGCAUAGCUGUUGGGACCCGAAAGAUGGUGAACUAUGCGUGAAUAGGGUGAAGCCAGAGGAAACUCUGGUGGAGGCUCGCAGCGGUUCUGACGUGCAAAUCGAUCGUCAAAUUUGCGUAUAGGGGCGAAAGACUAAUCGAACUAUCU